AUUCAUCAAAGAAAAAGGAGAAGGAAAGCAAAAGAGACAGAGUCCAAACGCUUUCCAUAAUAGGUACACGACAAAUGUCUGGAUUAUUUUUCUAGUAGAAAUGACAUAAAGUGCGACCCAAGAUCCAUGAUACGAAAACCAAAAGCAAUAUAAGUAAGCACACGAAAUCCUGAUGGAUUUCUAACUCCAACUCGAACAAUAAAUAAUUAUACAAUAGAAAAGACCAUCUAAAGAGCUUUAUCUCUAUCAUAAUCGCUAAAAUAGUAGAAAAAACGAUCGCUGAAAAUUCAAGUAAAAAGGGAAGCGUUUUUGAGAACAUAGGAGAGGAAUUCCAAUUUGGAGAAAUUCAAAUGAUAAAUAAGCUGUGCUAUGGCUUUUGCGCUAUU
rnacentral:lncRNA from 1 species